rnacentral:pre_miRNA from 1 species
ACAACAUUAGGACCGUCGGUCUACCGAUCAAUAUCUCCCGUUCGAUGGAAGAUUCCCCUAUUGUCGU